rnacentral:tRNA from 1 species
GACCGCAUGGUGAGAUAUGGACAACCCGUCGGACUACGGUACCGAAGACCGCAGGUUCGAAUCCUGCCGUGGUCG